rnacentral:antisense_RNA from 1 species
CUUCACCGAGCCCAGCCGCAGCGGCCGGUCGGUCGGGCGGCCCUGCCCGUACGUGGCGAGCAGCGCCUCCGCCUC